AGUGAACGCUGGCGGCAGGCCUAAUACAUGCAAGUCGAACGACAGCACAGCAGAGCUUGCUCUGUGGGUGGCGAGUGGCGGACGGGUGAGGAAUACGUGGGAAUCUGCCCAGUCGUGGGGGAUAACGUAGGGAAACUUACGCUAAUACCGCAUGCGCCCUUCGGGGGAAAGCCGGGGACCUUCGGGCCUGGCGCGAUUGGAUGAGCCCACGUCGGAUUAGCUAGUUGGCGGGGUAAAGGCCCACCAAGGCGACGAUCCGUAGCUGGUCUGAGAGGAUGAUCAGCCACACUGGAACUGAGACACGGUCCAGACUCCUACGGGAGGCAGCAGUAGGGAAUAUUGGACAAUGGGCGCAAGCCUGAUCCAGCCAUGCCGCGUGAGUGAAGAAGGCCCUCGGGUUGUAAAGCUCUUUUGUCCGGAAAGAAAAGCGCCGGGUUAAUACCCUGGUGUCCUGACGGUACCGGAAGAAUAAGCACCGGCUAACUUCGUGCCAGCAGCCGCGGU
rnacentral:rRNA from 1 species